CGCACAUAGUGUAACACUAAACACUGACCUGCUAGGCGGUAAUGGUGUAUGUAUCAGUAAAGAAUGACGUUUAUUUAUUUAGCUCUCCGUUUUCACUGUCUUUCACUUCACUGUCAGAUUAGUUGCACAUAUUCAAUGACGCCAGCUGGUGACUGAUGGACAAACCAUUUUGGUUUACUAUAUCGAAUGAUACCAUUAACUUGUUUGCCUUUGUGUAGUGCUUUUGGUUAGCUAACGUUAGCAGGCUAACAGAAAGUGUUAUACUGCCAUUAUCUCCCAUAUUCGUUAGGGUUAGGGUGAGUUAGGUUGUCAGUUCUCUUUUCAGGUUAUAAUAGGUGCAGUACAUCAAGUGCAUCGUAUGUCUUACACUCAUUCAGUUAAACUAUCAAUUAUCACCCUUAGCUGCUAGCUCUCCAAACUUGUAAUGUAAAUGUUACAUUGCACGGUUUCAGCUCCACCUGCAACCUUAAUUCGAUUGAGAUUUAUAAGUUAUAUACUUAAGAAUACGCGUCAGGAUGUACAAGCAGUGGUCUCCAGAUUUAAAUUCAGAUGAGAAGCUGAUAUGGAAGCAGUCUGAAUCUAGCCUGCAUCCAAAUGGUGAAAAAACAAGUCCCAUAAGCGUUAUACUAGUGAGCUCUGGCAGCAGAGGAAAUAAACUGCUCUUCAGAUACCCGUUCCAGAAGGUGUCUGAAAACACUUCAUCAGCAGCAUCAAAACAGCGAAGCCCAUAUGUGUUGAAUACAUCAGGCGACUCUACGGAGGACCAGGAUGGUGACGCAAGAGAACAAACUCCAUUAACUGAUGAACAGUUGGUAGCAGGGUUUUCCGAUAUUAUUCUCGCCACCAUCUUGGCUACCAAGUCUGAUAUGUGCGGCAAGAAGUUUGAACUAAAAAUAGACAAUGUGCGCUUUGUCGGACAUCCAACUUUACUGCAGCUUCCGCAUAGUAUUCAGGUCUCCAAAACUGACCCAUCCCCAAAAAGAGAGCUGCCCACCAUGAUCCUGUUCAGUGUGGUUUUUGCUUUAAGGGCCAAUGCGGACGCCUCAGUCAUCAACUGCAUGCAUAACCUGUCUCGUCGCAUCGCCAUAGCCCUGCAGCACGAGGAGCGCAGAUGCCAGUACCUCACCAGAGAGGCCAAGCUCAUGCUAGCAAUGCAGGACGAGGUCACCACCAUGACUGAGACAGACGGCACCCCACAGUCGCCGUUUCGCCAGAUCCUUCCCAAGUGUAAAUUAGCUCGAGACCUAAAGGAAGCCUAUGACAGUCUCUGCACAACUGGAGUUGUUCGGCUUCACAUCAAUAACUGGCUUGAGGUCAGUUUCUGCCUUCCGCACAAAAUCCACCGUGUAGGAGGGAAACACAUCCCACCAGAGGCUCUUGAGCGCAGCCUGAAGGCCAUUCGGCCGUAUCAUGCACUGCUGCUGCUGGACAGUGAGAAGACCUUGCUGGCUCAGCUCCCUCUGGACUGCUCUCCUGCUCUAGUGCGCCUCAUCAAGACCUGCUCAGCCGUCAAGAACCUGCAGCAGCUGGCUCAGGACGCUGACCUGGCUCUCCUGCAGGUCUUCCAGAUAGCUGCGCAUUUGGUGUACUGGGGUAAAGCCAUCAUUAUCUACCCUCUCUGCGAGAACAACGUGUAUAUGCUCUCCCCCCAUGCAAACAUCUCCAUCUACUCUCCUCUGGCUGAUGAGUUCGCCCUCCAAUUUCCAGGUCAUGACCUGCCUUCCAUGUUAGCCAAGUUCUCACUUCCUGUAUCUCUGUCGGAGUUCAGGAAUCCACUGGAUGCCCCUGUGCAUGAGGCCCAGCUCAUUCAGAUGGUGGUAUGGAUGCUCCAGCACCGGCUGCUGUUUCAGAUCCAUACGUAUGUUUAUCUGCUGGUCCCGCCCACUGAGGAGGAGCCAGGUCUGCGCGAGGAGGAGCCACCCCUAGCGGCACGCGUUACAGGUCGAAGUCUGAGCACUCCCAGUGCCCUGAGCUUCGGCUCUCCCACAAGUAGCGAUGACAUGACCCUGACGAGUCCCAGUAUGGAAAACUCCAGCGCUGAGCUGCAGACCGGAGGAGACUCUCCUCUUAAUAAAAGAAUGACCGAAACGCUUUUGGCCAGCCUGACCGAACAUGAGCGGCAGGCCAUUCUCCGUGUCCCAGCGGCACAGAACCCAGAGGAUCUGCGCUUGUUUGCCAGACUUCUGCAUUACUUCAGAGGGCAUCAUCACCUGGAAGAGAUCAUGUACAAUGAGAACAUGCGUCGCUCGCAGCUGAAAACUUUAUUCGACAAGUUUCGCAGUGUUUUAGUCAUAACCAAUCAUGAGGACCCCAUCAUCUCUCUGUUCCAGUCUCCACCAGAGUAAACAGAUCACGAGUCUGAGGACGGGGUGACGUGUUUGAUCAUCAUCAGUGGCUUAAAUAACCUAAUUGAGGAGGAAACUGUGUUCUUCUGCAACAAAAUAAUGACCUGCUCAGCGCUCAAUUUCAGAGACGCUCACACAUGGGUGUCCUCUCAGGUAGAAGCGAAGCGGUUUGGUUGCCCAUUCCCCAUGAGACUCCACUCCGAUCCGAUGGGCCGACACCACCUCUCCAGGGGAACAGUCUCUCGCUCGGGGUCCCUCUCAAGCCACACCUCUGUAUCAGUGGCCAGAUCCCUGCGGUCGAAGCAGCGCUGUAUAUCUAGCGCUUGGCACAACUUGGACGGGCCAUUGCAGAGCUCUUUGUCCCGAAGGGUUUUGGCUCCAGCCUUGCGUUUGGCCGCUCGCAGGCCCCUCAUGACGUCCUGACUGCUCAAAGGCUCCAGCGAGCGCAAAAGCACGGCCGCUCCCUCCCCUGCACACACACACACAUAUAGUAAAGUAGUUAGCAAGGCUCCUCACUGUCUCCUUCCUGUUGGCUUGUGUCUUUGUGCAUAUGCUCCAACCUUUCUCUAGGUCUUAUGUAAUGUGCCAACUUGACCUAUAAUGAGAAACAGUUGGAGAGAAGCAUAACGGCAUCAAAACACGUGUUUCUUGCGCAACUACCGAUGAGGAAUCUGUGGUUACAGCCUUCCGGCUCCAUCUCAUGUAAAGACUUUUUCCUAUGUGUGGAUUUUGGAGCCUCACCUUGGCUGGAGACGUUCAUGCAGAGGUAGAUGCCGUAGAUGGGAUAGACGUAGAUGGUGCCAGGCUUCAUGAACAUUGCAGUGUUCCUCUCUGUGCGUUUCCCCCCCGCUGAGUGGGACGCCUUGUCCUCCCCACCCAAAUAUGCUUCGGUUUCCACAACCCUUGCUCUGAGCUCAGUGCCAUCAGUUAGUUUCCUCACCAACACCUAAUAAACAGAAACAUAAUAUCCUGCAAAAACACCAUCUUAUGUCCAGCAGGUGGAGCAAAUGUGCCAAUAUGUUAUAACGACUGAGACUAGAAUCACAUGUGCUGGCUAAUGAUGAGACCUUGACUUGUUGCUUUUUCAGUAAAGGUGGGCUAUUGUUUUUCUAAA